CAGGAUCUUGCUCUGUUGCCCAGACUGGAGUGCAAUGACAUGAUUACAAUCAUAGCUCGCUGCAGCCUUGACCUCCUAGACUCAAGGUGUACUUUGUUUUCUAGCCUUGGGGAACAUGGGGACAGAAGCCCAAGGGAAGAGCAGCUUGUCCAAGAAGCAGUAGCAACAGACACGUGCCUGGAGGGAGUGUGAUAGCAUCUGCCACGUGGAGGAGAGCAUGAGCCAUUCUUCAGCACUAGAGAAGAUGGCAUUGCAGCCAGCAGGAAUGUGGCAUCAUUCUGAAAGCAAUGAGAAUGACACUAAUGCUGUCCCCAAGCUCACCACUUCCCUCUCAGGCCUUCACUCAACCCCUCUACUUCUUAUUUCCAGUGUUUCUGCAUUAACUACCACCUUCUUUUUAAGAACCAAUGAAUCCCAGAGGUUCCCAUGGGCCAAAUUCUCCCUUUCCAACACCAUCUUAACCGUGCUUCAGUAAACAUAAGUUGUCAACUC
rnacentral:lncRNA from 10 species